ensembl:lncRNA
CUGGACCAUAAACAUCUAUUUUUCUAUGUUUAUAAUUUAUACAUUUGUAUAAUAAUUGCUUUGAGUAUUCAUGUAUUUAUACAGGAACUGAUCGAGAAUUGGAAGUCCAUACUUUAUCACAUUACAGGUGUGCACAGUUGGUUUAAAGAAGGAAAGCAGAAAAAAUGUGUACACAAUGAUCUCAGUCCAGAACAGCAACGCAGAAAAAAAUGGCUUGGAAAAGACUCACGUGCCUUCCACACACUGCAGAGUCUUGUUCUGGACAAAGGACUUGAAAAGGAUUUGAGGCAAAUGGCUCUUUUCAAACACACUGGACAACUGGAGGUGUUUCAUUCUGUCCUACUGAAAUACUGCCCAAAGAACCUGCAUUUUCAUUAUGCAUCCAUGGUUGCACGAACACAACUCGCUAUCCUUGACCAUAAUGAAAAUGUAGGUCGUCAGCAAGCAACAACCACUACUGGUGCAUCUCGGUACAAAGUGGUUUUCCCCAAACAUACCAAAGAAUGGGUAGCCAAAACGAUUUUUACACAAACCACUCAAAAAUUCAGAGAGUCUCUGGUUGAGAAAGUUGUACAGCGGCGGCUGGACACCAACGUUGUUUACAAGGAAAGUUCUUGUCGUUUGACUCAUCAUCACCCAUUGCCACAGAACAUAGCCCUAACAACAAGGCCUGACAAGCAAGAAGUAAUUGCAAAGCGUUUAUCACGAUUUGGACACUAAUUUGCUUUAAAAAUGUUGAAGUCUUUUAUAGUUUUUUUUUUUUUUUUUUUAUUUUUCAGAUUUUUUUCUUAUUGAGGCAAAAACAGAAAACACUGUUGGUGAAACAAACAAAAUAUUUAUGGUGUUAGUGUGAAAUAUAUGGUCCUUACUGAUGGUACCCCACAUCAGUUGGAAUUAAACAUCAACGAAUGUAUUUCUCAAAUUUGUUUUAUUCUUCCAAAAUAAACAUUUGUGUGAGACAUCAAUAAGUAUGUAGUGUUGAUGUAUAUACAACAACAAAUAACAUUGACUAUGCAAAAAAAAAAAAAAAAUACAGCAAUUACAGUAACAAAAACACUAACCAAGCCACAACAAAUUAUAAUGUAUAUAAAAAAUGUAACAUUGUAAU